UGGGGAAUCUUGCACAAUGGGCGAAAGCCUGAUGCAGCGACGCCGCGUGCGGGAUGAAGGCCUUCGGGUUGUAAACCGCUUUCAGCAGGGACGAGGCCGCAAGGUGACGGUACCUGCAGAAGAAGCCCCGGCUAACUACGUGCCAGCAGCCGCGGUAAUACGUAGGGGGCAAGCGUUAUCCGGAUUCAUUGGGCGUAAAGCGCGCGUAGGCGGUUUGUUAGGUCAGGAGUUAAAUCUGGGGGCUCAACCCCUAUCCGCUCCUGAUACCGGCAGGCUUGAGUCUGGUAGGGGAAGGCGGAAUUCCAAGUGUAGCGGUGAAAUGGGCAGAUAUUUGGAAGAACACCGGUGGCGAAGGCGGCCUUCUGGGCCACGACUGACGCUGAGGCGCGAAAGCUAGGGGAGCGAACAGG
rnacentral:rRNA from 1 species